rnacentral:rRNA from 1 species
GAUGAACGCUAGCGGGGGGCCUAACACAUGCAAGCCGAGCGGUAUUGUUUCUUCGGAAAUGAGAGAGCGGCGUACGGGUGCGGAACACGUGUGCAACCUGCCUUUAUCUGGGGGAUAGCCUUUCGAAAGGAAGAUUAAUACUCCAUAAUAUAUUGAACGGCAUCGUUUAAUAUUGAAAGCUCCGGCGGAUAGAGAUGGGCACGCGCAAGAUUAGCUAGUUGGUGAGGUAACGGCUCACCAAGGCGAUGAUCUUUAGGGGGCCUGAGAGGGUGAUCCCCCACACUGGUACUGAGACACGGACCAGACUCCUACGGGAGGCAGCAGUGAGGAAUAUUGGUCAAUGGGUGCAAGCCUGAACCAGCCAUCCCGCGUGAAGGACGACUGCCCUAUGGGUUGUAAACUUCUUUUGUAUAGGGAUAAACCUACCCUCGUGAGGGUAGCUGAAGGUACUAUACGAAUAAGCACCGGCUAACUCCGUGC